rnacentral:rRNA from 1 species
AACGAACGCUGGCGGCAUGCCUAACACAUGCAAGUCGAACGAGACCUUCGGGUCUAGUGGCGCACGGGUGCGUAACGCGUGGGAACCUGCCUUUAGGUUCGGAAUAACUCAGAGAAAUUUGAGCUAAUACCGGAUAAUGUCUUCGGACCAAAGAUUUAUCGCCUUUAGAUGGGCCCGCGUUGGAUUAGCUAGUUGGUGGGUAAAGGCCUACCAAGGCGACGAUCCAUAGCUGGUCUGAGAGGAUGAUCAGCCACACUGGGACUGAGACACGGCCCAGACUCCUACGGGAGGCAGCAGUGGGGAAUAUUGGACAAAUGGGCGAAAGCCUGAUCCAGCAAUGCCGCGUGAGUGAUGAAGGCCUUAGGGUUGUAAAGCUCUUUUACCCGAGAUGAUAAUGACAGUAUCGGGAGAAUAAGCUCCGGCUAACUCCGUGCCAGCAGCCGCGGUAAU